GUUGCUGAGGUGAUCUGAUGAUAUAGGUCUUGCCUUUCAUUUUAACUGCCAUUCUGGCAACUGAACGUUGGCAGUAAACGCAGCUUAGUUGUCUCAGAGGACUCACAAUGGGAUGUGCUUAUAGUUGUUGCCUCGAAGAUUACGAUGAGGACCUGGUGCAGGAAGCUUCAUCUGAAGAUGUCCUGGGCGUUCAUAUGUUGAGAUGAAACGGCAACUACGGCGACUACGGGAGCUCCACCUAUACAGCACAUGGAAGAAGUACCAAGAGGCGAUGAAGACAUCCUUGGGAGUUCCACAAUGUGAGCGUGACGAAGGCUCCUUGGGCAAGCCAUUGUGUCCACCCGAGAUACUCUCGGAGACGUUGCCAGGCUCUGUGAAGAAAAGGGUAUGCUUUCCAUCAGAAGAUCAUCUAGAGGAGUUUAUAGCAGAACAUCUCCCUGAAGCAUCCAAUCAGAGUCUCCUCACUGUUGCCCAUGCAGACACAGGCAUCCAAACCAACGGUGACCUGGAAGACCUGGAGGAGCAUGGGCCAGGGCAGACAGUCUCUGAGGAAGCCACAGAAGUUCACAUGAUGGAGGGGGACCCAGACACACUGGCCGAAC
rnacentral:lncRNA from 1 species